CUCUUCUGCAUUAACAGAUGUCUGCUAUAAUUGUGUGAUCCAGAUUUUAUCUGUUUCAUGCAAUAAUGCUAGCAGAUCACUGCGCGGAAGGAGAGUAAUGUGCACUGUACUGAAAAUGAGAUGUGGCCGAACCUCUUUCUUAAUGUUCAUUGGCUUCUUUCUCAAGGCACAGUGCCACAGUC
rnacentral:snoRNA from 1 species